rnacentral:lncRNA from 1 species
AACAAAGUACCUCAGGCACAUCUUUCCUUUGACUGAACUCGAGAUUUUGUACAUCAAAUACUUCUUGCCAAAAAAAAUGUUUGCAUCAAAUACAUUGUAAAACUAAAACACUUCACCUAUCCAAAGAAAAAUAAUAUAAAUCUGAAAAAUGUUCUUCGUUGACAACAAGAGAAAGUUGUGUUGCCUUCCUAGAAUCAUACAGCACACGUCGGAUUUUAGCUAUCCAACUGUAUAGAUUUUUUGUAAGCAAUCCAACUUCGGUACCUAGGACUUCUGCUGACAAAGCAUAUAUUAACAUCAUCUCCUAAGUGGAUUCGUAAAGUUGCAAAUGAGAGCGAAUAACAUCAGUCCUGCAGCUGUAAUCUCUCACAUUCUUAAUUAAUAUUUAAAUAUGUAACAGUUAGAUGCAAAGUUCAGACAAAACCUGUAAUGAUCUAUGACUGCAGUUUCAGUUUAGUGAAACUAACUUAGAAUAACUAAAGCACAGGGAGGGAAGGAGAGUCGCUGCAUUGGUAUUCCAUUAUUAUAUUCAAUGUAAGUUCUUCCCUCAAGUAUGCUCCUGUUGUAAUAUUAAGGGCUUUGUAUUCCAAUUUCUAAAUACAUAUUAGAUAAUAUAAAGUUUAAAGAAAUAUGACCUGCUUAUUCUGUUUCUCAAAGUUGAAGCACAAAUGAAGAGAGUACAAUUCAUGAUUGCCAUAAGCCAAAGAGUACAAUUCAGGAUUGUUGCAAAAUUCCUUAGCACCUCAGUUCUGUUACUUUUCUUGACAAUAUACUCCUAAAAUCUUGUGAAACAAAACCUUCAUUAUCCCCCCCCCCUAUGCAUACAGUUCCAUUUUAUACAAUUAAGGGAUCAAAGUGUUGGCAUGGGAGAUGUCAUUGAUACCUCGGUAACAUUGACAGUGCAAAGCUAGGCCCCGGCCCCCAACAAUGAUAAAAAUGUCGCCUUUCAAGGGGCUAAGUCCUUCUGCAAGGCAUUAAAAAUGUAAUGUGAGAAUAGGAAGGACACCCAUUUUAGAAAAAUUGAUAUGAUUCUGAUAUGCAAAGUUCAGAGCAAUUGGUAUCUGCUUUCCAUGUUCCGCCGGAGCUUGGUGUGUGGAAAAUCAAAUGUACACGCUAUUAAGACUACAAAAAAACUCAUGCAGUAACACAUUACGAAGCUUAGAAAAAUAGAUUAAAUAUUGUGAUUGCCAAAUUAGUUGAAGGAAAUAAAGGGGUUAUAGAAUUGUGAUAUAUUUGUGUGAGGACUCCCAUAGGAAAUAAUGUUCUAACUCGAUGGACGUACGAACAGAGGCUUGCACAUCGGAGGAUACCACCAAUACGACCAGCCUCACCGAUUCCAACAUCAAGCAACUUAAUCAACCCAUACUUUGUCUUUGGGAACAUGGAAAUGACGCAGGGAAUCACCUAGCAAUCCGUGUGCGGCUGCUAUGACAGUGGCCGGGGUUAGGGUUUUCUCCGGAAGGAAACUCAAGUGCAACUGCUACGCAUUUUUCUGCUGAUUGCAAGAACCACAAUGACCAGACGAUGACUGAAGUGAGCAAACAUGUUCAGGUUCUUUUGGCAUAGUGAGUGGCUAUUCCUAGCUACAAACAGUUUGAGGCCAAACAGACGGCAACAUCACAAGUAGAGAACUGAAAUAAAUUACAAUAG